rnacentral:rRNA from 1 species
GUGUCAGCAGCCGCGGUAAUACGUAGGUGGCAAGCGUUGUCCGGAUUUAUUGGGUUUAAAGGGUGCGUAGGCGGCCCUGUAAGUCAGUGCUGAAAUAUCCCGGCUUAACCGGGAGGGUGGCAUUGAUACUGCAGGGCUUGAGUACAGAUGAGGUAGGCGGAAUUGACGGUGUAGCGGUGAAAUGCAUAGAUAUCGUCAAGAACACCGAUAGCGAAGGCAGCUUACCAAGCUGUAACUGACGCUGAGGCACGAAAGUGUGGGGAUCAAACAGGAUUAGAUACCCUGGUAGUCCACACUGUAAACGUUGAUGACUCGAUGUUGGCGAUACACAGCCAGCGUCCAAGAGCAAUCGUUAAGUCAUCCACCUGGGGAGUACGCCGGCAACGGUGAA